CAGUAGCCGCGGUAAGACAGAGGAUGCAAGCGUUAAUCGGAAUUACUGGGCGUAAAGCGCGCGUAGGUGGUUUGUUAAGUUGGAUGUGAAAUCCCCGGGCUCAACCUGGGAACUGCAUUCAAAACUGACUGACUAGAGUAUGGUAGAGGGUGGUGGAAUUUCCUGUGUAGCGGUGAAAUGCGUAGAUAUAGGAAGGAACACCAGUGGCGAAGGCGACCACCUGGACUAAUACUGACACUGAGGUGCGAAAGCGUGGGGAGCAAACAGGAUUAGAUACCCCAGUAGUCCCUGUCUCUUAUAC
rnacentral:rRNA from 1 species